rnacentral:rRNA from 1 species
GAUGAACGCUGGCGGUAUGCUUAACACAUGCAAGUCGAACGGUCACUUCGGUGAUAGUGGCGGACGGGUGAGUAACGCGUGAGAAUCUGUCUUCAGGUCGGGGACAACAGUUAGAAAUGACUGCUAAUACCGGAUGUGCCUUUGGGUGAAAGAUUUAUUGCCUGAAAAAGAGCUCGCGUCAGAUUAGCUAGUAGGUGGUGUAAGAGACUACCUAGGCUCCGAUCUGUAGCUGGUCUGAGAGGACGAUCAGCCACACUGGAACUGAGACACGGUCCAGACUCCUACGGGAGGCAGCAGUAGGGAAUUUUCCGCAAUGGGCGAAAGCCUGACGGAGCAAUACCGCGUGAGGGACGAAGGCUUUUGGGUCGUAAACCUCUUUUCUCAAGGAAGAUGAUGACGGUACUUGAGGAAUAAGCAUCGGCUAACUCUGUG